rnacentral:rRNA from 1 species
UUCUUAUACCCUUAAUUAUAAGUAAAAUCUGCUCAAUGAUAAUUAAAUAGCCGCAGAAUUUUAACUGUGCUAAGGUAGCAUAAUCAUUUACCUUUUAAUUGAAGGUUUGUAUGAAAGAUUUUCCAUUUAAAUUAUUUUUUUAUUUAAUUAAAUUAAAAUUUUAUUAAAAAUAAAAAUAUUUUUAUAAAUAAAAAAGACGACAAGACCCUAUUGAACUUUACUUCAGUUAAGCUGGGGCAGCUAAUUAAAUACCAUUUUAAUAAAUUAAUUUUAAUAAAUUUCUGGAAACCCAAUUUGAACAAGUUACCAUAGGGAUAACAGCGUAAUAAUUUUUAAAAGUUCUUAUUUAAAAAAAAGUUUACGACCUCGAUGUUGAAUUAAAUUUACUUUAAAACGCAAUAGUAUUAAAAGUAGGUCUGUUCGACCUUUAAAUUUUUACAU